rnacentral:piRNA from 1 species
UCUUACAAUGGAACUACUGUUUUGGGC